GACGAACGCUGGCGGCGUGCUUAACACAUGCAAGUCGAACGGAAAGGCCCUGCUUGCAGGGUACUCGAGUGGCGAACGGGUGAGUAACACGUGGGUGAUCUGCCCUGCACUUCGGGAUAAGCCUGGGAAACUGGGUCUAAUACCGGAUAGGAGCCAUUUUUAGUGUGAUGGUUGGAAAGUUUUUUCGGUGUAGGAUGAGCUCGCGGCCUAUCAGCUUGUUGGUGGGGUAAUGGCCUACCAAGGCGGCGACGGGUAGCCGGCCUGAGAGGGUGGACGGCCACAUUGGGACUGGGGGACGGCCCAGACUCCUGAGGGGGGGAGCAGGGGGGAAUGUUGGACAAUGGGCGGAAGCCUGAUGCAGCGAAGCCGCGUGGGGGAUGACGGCCUUCGGGUUGUAAACUCCUUUCGCUAGGGACGAAGCUUUUUGUGACGGUACCUAGAUAAGAAGCACCGGCUAACUACGUG
rnacentral:rRNA from 1 species